rnacentral:rRNA from 1 species
GUGGGGAAUUUUGGACAAUGGGGGCAACCCUGAUCCAGCAAUGCCGCGUGCAGGAAGAAGGCCUUCGGGUUGUAAACUGCUUUUGUACGGAACGAAACGGUCUGGGUUAAUACCCUGGGCUAAUGACGGUACCGUAAGAAUAAGCACCGGCUAACUACGUGCCAGCAGCCGCGGUAAUACGUAGGGUGCGAGCGUUAAUCGGAAUUACUGGGCGUAAAGCGGGCGCAGGCGGUUUUGUAAGACAGGCGUGAAAUCCCCGGGCUCAACCUGGGAAUGGCGCUUGUGACUGCAAAGCUGGAGUGCGGCAGAGGGGGAUGGAAUUCCGCGUGUAGCAGUGAAAUGCGUAGAUAUGCGGAGGAACACCGAUGGCGAAGGCAAUCCCCUGGGCCUGCACUGACGCUCAUGCACGAAAGCGUGGGGAGCAAACAGGAUUAGAAACCCUGGUAGUCC